GCUUUACCCACUGAUGACAUAUGGUGCUUUGCUGUGAAUGACAAGGCCCCGGGACCGAAAAACAGGAGAACUGUUACCAAAUGAAUGGAUUAGAAGACUCAAGAAGAUAACAAGCAGCUCAGUGGUAGGAAGCCUUUUGGAGCCCUCUACUAAAGAGAAAUUUCAAGAAUUUGGCAAAAUUCAGAAGCCUAGCUAUCUUGAAGUGUCUCCACCAUCCAACGCAGCCAGAAGCCAACUGACAGUGGUCCUGGGAAAUGUAU